rnacentral:lncRNA from 1 species
CGGCCGCGGUGUCGAAGACAGCUGUGGCACCCAUCGAGCGAGUGAAGCUGCUGUUGCAGGUGCAGGCGUCCUCCAAGCAGAUAAGCCCUGAGGCACGCUACAAGGGCAUGAUAGACUGCCUGGUGCGCAUCCCUCGUGAGCAAGGAUUUUUAAGUUAUUGGCGUGGCAAUUUGGCAAAUGUUAUUCGAUACUUUCCAACACAAGCCUUAAACUUCGCCUUUAAGGACAAAUACAAACAACUUUUCAUGUCUGGUGUUAAUAAAGAAAAACAGGGCUUCUGGAGGGGCUGCUGGAGCAACAUCCUUGUGUGUGGUAUAUCCACUAGAUUUUGCCAGAACCCGAUUAGGUGUUGAUAUUGGAAAAGGUCCUGAGCAACGGCAGUUCACGGGUUUGGGUGACUGCAUUAUGAAAAUAGCC